CCUACGGGAGGCAGCAGUGGGGAAUUUUGGACAAUGGGGGCAACCCUGAUCCAGUCAUGCCGCGUGCGGGAAGAAGGCCUUCGGGUUGUAAACCGCUUUUGGUCGGGAAGAAAAGGUUAUCCCUAAUAAGGAUGACUCUUGACGGUACCGGCAGAAUAAGCACCGGCUAACUACGUGCCAGCAGCCGCGGUAAUACGUAGGGUGCGAGCGUUAAUCGGAAUUACUGGGCGUAAAGCGUGCGCAGGCGGUUUGUUAAGUCUGAUGUGAAAGCCCCGGGCUCAACCUGGGAACUGCAUUGGAAACUGGCAAGCUCGAGUAUGGCAGAGGGGGGUGGAAUUCCGCGUGUAGCAGUGAAAUGCGUAGAGAUGCGGAGGAACACCGAUGGCGAAGGCAGCCCCCUGGGCCAAUACUGACGCUCAGGCACGAAAGCGUGGGGAGCAAACAGGAUUAGAUACCCUGGUAGUCCACGCCCUAAACGAUGCUCACUAGGUGUUGGGGAAGCGAUUCCUUGGUACCGAAGCUAACGCGUGAAGUGAGCCGCCUGGGGAGUACGGCCGCAAGGUUAAAACUCAAAGGAAUUGACGG
rnacentral:rRNA from 1 species